rnacentral:lncRNA from 1 species
CUCUAUGUCCUAAGAAAUUUUCCUCCAAAGUAGUGGCCUUGCAGAAAACUGCUACACAACAGCCACAUCAUCAUGAAUCCUCAACAGGGAACCAGAUGUUAGAACAUUGAGGCCUAUGGAAGAUACCUUCUAUUCAAGCUACAACAUCCUCCUCAAAUACUUGCCUCACCAUGGGAGAAGACAAUGGGAGACUCACAGAGCCACGGGAGGAAUGAUGAGAGAAGAGGAGACAUCCUUGUGGGUGAACCAGAGGUAACAGUAUGGAGUAAGGAGCAGAAUAAAGCAAUCCUUUGCUUGAAUAACCACUCGAAG